GACGUAGGGCGCGAGCGUUGUCCGGAUUAUUGGGCGUAAAGAGCUCGUAGGCGGCUUGUUACGUCGUUCGUGAAAACUUGGGGCUCAACCCCAAGCUUGCGGUCGAUACGGGCAGGCUAGAGUUCGGUAGGGGAGACUGGAAUUCCUGGUGUAGCGGUGAAAUGCGCAGAUAUCAGGAGGAACACCGGUGGCGAAGGCGGGUCUCUGGGCCGAUACUGACGCUGAGGAGCGAAAGCGUGGGGAGCGAACAGG
rnacentral:rRNA from 1 species